CCCUUCGUCUUUGGGGAGUAGCCUGCUUUCCGUCUCCGGAAAGCGAACGCGUCAACACACUCGGCCUGCGGCCGUGGCGCGUUCAGCCUGAUCGGCCUGGCGAGACCAUCGGCACAUCGCGUCGUUCCUGGUCGG
rnacentral:ncRNA from 3 species